GCGCAAUGGGCGGAAGCCUGACGCAGCGACGCCGCGUGGGGGAUGACGGCCUUCGGGUUGUAAACCUCUUUCGCCAGGGACGAAGCUAACGUGACGGUACCUGGAGAAGAAGCACCGGCCAACUAUGUGCCAGCAGCCGCGGUAACACGUAGGGUGCGAGCGUUGUCCGGAAUUAUUGGGCGUAAAGAGCUCGUAGGCGGUGUGUCGCGUCGGCCGUGAAAACUUGGGGCUUAACUCUGAGCGUGCGGUCGAUACGGGCAUCACUUGAGUUCGGCAGGGGAGACUGGAAUUCCUGGUGUAGCGGUGAAAUGCGCAGAUAUCAGGAGGAACACCGGUGGCGAAGGCGGGUCUCUGGGCCGAUACUGACGCUGAGGAGCGAAAGCGUGGGGAGCGAACAGGAUUAGAUACCCUGGUAGUCCACGCCGUAAACGUUGGGCGCUAGGUGUGGGGACCAUUCCACGGUUUCUGUGCCGCAGCUAACGCAUUAAGCGCCCCGCCUGGGGAGUACGGCCGCAAGGCU
rnacentral:rRNA from 1 species